rnacentral:rRNA from 1 species
GCCUAACACACGCAAGUCGAACGGAGUUGAUUUUUCUGAAGUUUUCGGAUGGACGAAGAAUUAACCUAGUGGCGAACGGGUGAGUAACGCGUGGGUAACCUGCCUUUUAGAGGGGGACAACAGUUGGAAACGACUGCUAAUACCGCAUAAGACCACAGUACCGCAUGGUACAGUGAUCAAAGGAGCAAUCCGCUAAAAGAUGGGCCCGCGUCUGAUUAGAUAGUUGGUGGGGUAACGGCCUACCAAGUCGACGAUCAGUAGCCGGACGGAGAGGUUGAUCGGCCACGUUGGAACUGAGACACGGUCCAAACUCCUACGGGAGGCAGCAGUGGGGAAUAUUGGGCAAUGGGCGAAAGCCUGACCCAGCAACGCCGCGUGAAGGAAGAAGGUUUUCGGAUUGUAAACUUCUGUCCUUGGUGACGAAGGAAGUGACGGUAGCCAAGGAGGAAGCCCCGGCUAACUACGUGCCAGCCGCCGCAGUAAAAC